rnacentral:lncRNA from 1 species
AAAUUAUCUUAUGAAAUUUAUUAUUUUUUAAAAUGAAAAAAAAGUUAAAACUAUCGAUAUUUAGGUAAUAAAAAUAUUUAGAGUUUUACAGCUAAUUUACAACGCCCCUGUUAAAUAUUCUAUACCGAGUGCGCAACAAUGACAGAAUUUAGAAAACCAUCAAAAUAGUAUGAUUCUCCGUAUGUGAUUGGAAGAGUCAACUUGAACACUUUAAACUGAUCUGAACAAACUGCACGAGGCAUUGCAAAUGUUUACUCGGUGUUGUAUUGAUUCUUGACUGGCUGUUAAUUUUAUACAAGCUAAAGACGACCUUAUUUUGAAUAUAAUUUUGAAAGAGUCAGACCGCUAUUAACUGGUUAUGCACAAGGCAUUUUAGAUUUGCAAGCGUAGGGGAUGAAUCUUGACAGGCUGUUAAUUUUAUAGAAGCUAAUGUUGACCUUAUUUUAAAUAUAAUAGAGUGUUAUUGUCUGGAGGUGUUUGAUAUUCAGUCAGUAGAACAUGCAAAAUAUUGAAAUGAUUUGCUGCUGUGACUGUGUUUAUGAUUAUCCACGGCAAGAUGGUAUUUUAUUGUCAGUUAAGAUUUUGUGAAUACUUUAAACUGCAGUUAAUCUUUUUUAUGUAUUAUAAAUUAUUUUGUAUUACAAACUUUUUAAAUUU